UACGAAGGGGGCUAGCGUUGCUCGGAAUUACUGGGCGUAAAGGGCGCGUAGGCGGCGCAGUUAGUCAGGCGUGAAAUUCCUGGGCUCAACCUGGGGACUGCGCUUGAUACGGCUGUGCUAGAGGAUGGGAAGAGGCUCGCGGAAUUCCCAGUGUAGAGGUGAAAUUCGUAGAUAUUGGGAAGAACACCGGUGGCGAAGGCGGGUCUCUGGGCCGUAACUGACGC
rnacentral:rRNA from 1 species